UACGAAGGGGGCUAGCGUUGUUCGGAUUUACUGGGCGUAAAGCGCACGUAGGCGGAUCGUUAAGUCGGGGGUGAAAUCCUGGAGCUCAACUCCAGAACUGCCUUCGAUACUGGCGAUCUUGAGUCCGGAAGAGGUGAGUGGAACUCCUAGUGUAGAGGUGAAUUCGUAGAUAUUAGGAAGAACACCUGCGGCGAAGGCGGGUUGCUGGGCUGACACUGACGCUGAGGCGCGAAAGCUAGGGGAGCGAACGGG
rnacentral:rRNA from 1 species